UACGUAGGGGGCCAGCGUUGCUCGGAAUUACUGGGCGUAAAGGGUUCGUAGGCGGUGUGGCAAGUCGGGCGUGAAAUCUCUGGGCUCAACUCAGAGACUGCUUCCGAAACUGCCAUGCUUGAGUGCGGGAGAGGCGAGUGGAAUUACAGGUGUAGCGGUGAAAUGCGUAGAUAUCUGGAGGAACACCCGUGGCGAAGGCGGCUCGCUGGACCGCAACUGACGCUGAGGAGCGAAAGCUAGGGGAGCAAACAGG
rnacentral:rRNA from 1 species